GCCAAAUAGCUAGCUCAACCACCAAGACAAAAUUAACAUCAUUCAUCAACCCCACAUUAACCCCAAUAAUUAAACUAAACCAUUCUCCUGCCUUAGUACGGGCGACGGAAAAGGCACCACACGAAGCAAUAGAAAAAGUACCGCAAGGGAAAGCUGAAAGAGAAGUGAAAUAAUCCAUUCAAGCCCUAAAAAGCAGAGACUAACCCUCGUACCUUUUGCAUCAUGAUUUAGUUAGCAUACCUGAGCAAAGAGAACUUUAGUUCAAAGCCCCGAAACCAAGUGAGCUACCCCGAGACAGCCUAUCCAGGGCCAACCCGUCUCUGUGGCAAAAGAGUGGGAAGAUCUCCGGGUAGAGGUGACAGACCUACCGAACUUGGUGAUAGCUGGUUGCCUAGGAAAUGGAUAGAAGUUCAGCCCCAUUGCUCCUCCACUCACAAAAAUACCAUUUCAAACACGACACCGAGAAACACAUGGGAGUUAGUCAAAAGGGGUACAGCCCUUUUGAACCAGGACACAACCUUUACCAGGAGGUUAAGGAUCACAUUCAACCAAGAUUUCUGCUUCAGUGGGCCUAAAAGCAGCCAUCUGUGAAGAAAGCGUUAAAGCUCAGGCAGAAUAACAAAUCUAUUAUCCUGAUAUAUUAUCCAAAACCCCUCCUCAUACUAGGCCAUUCCAUGCCCACAUGGAAGUGAUACUGCUAAAAUGAGUAAUAAGAAGGCACCCCCUUCUCCCAGCCCACGUGUAAGUUAGAUCGGACCCCCCACUAACAAUUAACGAACCCAACACAAGAGGGUAUUGUGGCCAAAAAAAACAAACCAAGAAAUCCCCACACCACACCCAAAUCGUUAACCCCACACCGGAGCGCCACUAAGGGAAAGACUAAAAGAAAAGGAAGGAACUCGGCAAACACAAGCCUCGCCUGUUUACCAAAAACAUCGCCUCCCGCAAAAAUCAACGUAUAGGAGGUCCUGCCUGCCCGGUGACUUGUUAGUUUAACGGCCGCGGUAUUUUGACCGUGCUAAGGUAGCGCAAUCACUUGUUCUUUAAAUGAGGACCCGUAUGAAUGGUGUAACGAGGGCUUAACUGUCUCCCUUCUCCAGUCAAUGAAAUUGAUCUGCCCGUGCAGAAGCGGACAUAAACAUACAAGACGAGAAGACCCUUUGGAGCUUUAGACAACAAGGCCAACCGUGUAAAAAACCCAAACCAACAAUGAUGUUAAACAAAACAGCAACUGGCCAGCGUCUUCGGUUGGGGCGACCGUGGGGGAAAAAAGAGCCCCCAUGUAGAACGGGACACUCCCUAAAACUAAGAGAGACAUCUCUAAGUCACAGAACAUCUGACUAAAAGAUCCGGUAGACACUUACCGAUUAACGAACCAAGUUACCCUAGGGAUAACAGCGCAAUCCUUUCCAAGAGUCCAUAUCGACGAAAGGGUUUACGACCUCGAUGUUGGAUCAGGACAUCCUAAUGGUGCAGCCGCUAUUAAGGGUUCGUUUGUUCAACGAUUAAAGUCCUACGUGAUCUGAGUUCAGACCGGAGUAAUCCAGGUCAGUUUCUAUCUGUAAAUGCCACUCUUCCUAGUACGAAAGGACCGGAAAAGCAAGGCCCAUGCUUAAAGCACGCCUUAUUCUUACUUGAUGAAACCAACUAAAUCAAACAAAAGAAGAGCACCCCCCACACCCAAGAUAAGGGAUU
rnacentral:rRNA from 1 species